rnacentral:rRNA from 1 species
CGAACGGUAACAGGAAGCAGCUUGCUGCUUCGCUGACGAGUGGCGGACGGGUGAGUAAUGUCUGGGAAACUGCCUGAUGGAGGGGGAUAACUACUGGAAACGGUAGCUAACACCGCAUAACGUCGCAAGACCAAAGAGGGGGACCUUCGGGCCUCUUGCCAUCGGAUGUGCCCAGAUGGGAUUAGCUAGUAAGUGGGGUAACGGCUCACCUAGGCGACGAUCCCUAGCUGGUCUGAGAGGAUGACCGGCCACACUGGAACUGAGACACGGUCCAGACUCCUACGGGAGGCAGCAGUGGGGAAUAUUGCACAAUGGGCGCAAGCCUUAUGCAGCCAUGCCGCGUGUAUGAAGAAGGCCUUCGGGUUGUUAAGUACUUUCAGCGGGGAGGAAGGCGACAGGGUUAAUAACCCUGUCGAUUGACGUUACCCGCAGAAGAAGCACCGGCUAACUCCGUGCCAGCAGCCGCGGUAAUACGGAGGGUGCAAGCGUUAAUCGGAAUUACUGGGCGUAAAGCGCACGCAGGCGGUCUGUCAAGUCGGAUGUGAAAUCCCCGGGCUCAACCUGGGAACUGCAUUCGAAACUGGCAGGCUAGAGUCUUGUAGAGGGGGGUAGAAUUCCAGGUGUAGCGGUGAAAUGCGUAGAGAUCUGGAGGAAUACCGGUGGCGAAGGCGGCCCCCUGGACAAAGACUGACGCUCAGGUGCGAAAGCGUGGGGAGCAAA